CGGUUAUAAGAUCCCUCAAAGAUGAUGAGGUUAAUAGGUUCGAGGUGGAAGCGUGGUGACACGUGGAGCUGACGAAUACUAAUCGAUCGAAGACUUAAUCAAUUU
rnacentral:rRNA from 1 species